GAGGUACUGAAAGUGGAUGAACACUGACUUUUAAUCAGAGGGUCCUGGGUUCGAGUCCCAGCGCGCUCACCA
rnacentral:tRNA from 1 species